GGCGCUGAUGGUUGUUUUGACGUCAAAGGAUGCUUAACAUAUCGUCGGGUUGACACUUGCUGAUUUUCCAGGUCAAAGACCAUGCAAGAACGAAUAAGAUGACGUGUAACAAGACUCAUUGAUAAACCUUUGAUAAAUAUGGUCCGAGUCACAAACAGAUAUAAACUCUUGAUCCCAUGAUGUGUGAGAAGAAAUACUUCUGCCCACGACUACUUGAUUAUAUUGUUAUAACUGGUAGUCGCCACCCCAACCAUAACAACCAUGUUACCCAGACUCCAGAACUACUCCGUCGCUAUCCCCUAGAGGAUCACAAAGAUUUUCCCUUACCCACAGAUGUUAUCUUCUUCUGCCAGCCCGAAGGAUGCAUCAGCGUGGGACCAAAGCGAAUGAGCCUCCGUGAGACAACAUCUUUUGUCUUCACACUGACGGAAAAGGAUUCAGGCAUUGUUAGAUAUGGCAUCUGUGUUAACUUCUUUCGUCCAUUUGAAAAAAAGAGUUAUUCUUCAGACUGGCAGAAAAGUGACAGAUUAAAUCUUUCCAUAGGUAGCACCAACUCAACAGAUAUUGCUAGUUCCUUGGAAUUCGAGAAACCAAAGUCACCAAGGGCGAAACGGAAAUCACGGAGUGCAAGCCGUGUCCGCAAUAACACUCUGACAUCGUUAUGUAUUGUUAGCCAUCAUCCUUUCUUUUCUACAUUUAGAGAAUGUUUGUUUAUACUGAGGAGACUGAUUGAGGCAUGUCAUGACAGAAGUUGUACCAAGAGGAUUGGAGGAUCCAAGGCACUGACCAGGGACACAGUGUGGGGUGUGUUGACAGGGCUGUGUAGUGACAAUAUCUCGUCACUUGUGAUGCAUGAGGUGCGGGAGAUUGAGACUUGGAUUCUGCGACUCCUCAGUGCCCCUGUCCCUGUUCCUGGCAAGACUAGGGUAGAGGUGAGCAUCCUACCAAAGGACCUGCAGCCACCAAUACUGUUUGCCUUACCAGACCACACCCGCUUUACACUCAUAGACUUCCCCCUUCACCUGCCUCUGGAACUACUGGGAGUGGACACAUGUCUCAAGGUGCUGACCGCAAUCAUACUGGAACACAAGGUGGUGCUGCAAUCCCGGGACUACAAUGCCUUAUCAAUGAGUGUGAUGGCAUUUGUGUCCAUGCUGUAUCCCUUGGAGUACAUGUUCCCAGUCAUCCCACUACUACCUACAUGUAUGGCAUCAGCAGAACAGUUGCUGCUGGCCCCAACCCCCUACCUGAUUGGUGUUCCUGCCAGCUUCUUCCUCUACAAGAAGGACUUCAAGGUGCCUGAUGAUGUCUGGCUCAUAGACCUGGACUCCAACAAGAUUACCAUGCCCACAAAUGCAGAGGUGCUUCCUCCAAUGCCGGAUACUGAAGGCGGUAGCCUUAAGACGCAUCUCAAGCAGGCACUUGCGAGCAUGAGCAUGACUCCUCAGCCAAUCAAAAACCUUGAUGCUCUUGCUCAAAAUCCAGAGGCAUGGCAACGACGUGAAAGUUUCUCUUCACAGACUGGAUUCAACCCGCUCAUCUACGGCAAUGAUGUGGACUCAGUAGAUGUUGCUACCAGAGUAGCCAUGAUCCGAUUCUUCAACUCUGCCAACAUCAUGGGUAACUUCUGUGAACACACCCGUACUCUGCGCCUCUAUCCACGUCCUGUGGUGGCCUUCCAGCUGUACAGCUUCCUCAAGUCAAGGCCCAUCAAGACUCACUUCACAGCCAGGCUUGCUCGCACACAGGCUGUCGAAUAUUUUGCUGAGUGGUCUUUGAGUCCACAGAAUGUGGUUUAUCUACGUGUACAGACAGCGGUAUAUGACCCGUCACUGAUUGGAGACAAACCAAAGUGGUACGCACAUCAGCUACAGCCCAUAGACUUCAGAGUAUAUGAUGAGAAUUCUUCAUUGGGUGCUGCCAUCUCCUCAGCCAAUGAGAUUCACAGUGAUGAAAUUCCUACAGAUGAGAGUGGCAGUGACAGCGAAGGGGCAGAGAGCACCAGCUCAUCCUAUUCCUCACUUAGUGACUUUGUGACUGAUAUGGUCAACAGUGAGAUUGACGGAGAGUCUCCAGCAUUUUUACCUGAGAAUCAAGUGUUAGCUGUAGAUGAGUCAAAAGUAUUCUGUCCCCCAAACAAGUUGCACGUCCCUGAGACAACAACCGCAACCAGUGACUCAGCCCUGUCUCUCCCUGACAGUGAUCUCAGUUCGUCAGAAUCCUCUAGCCCUACCUACAGCCAUGGUUCACCUCCACGAGACAGGAACAGCAAGGAUAUGGAGGAUGAAAACACAGUAUUCCGGUAUGAUUCUGGUAAUGUAACUGCCACCAGUCAUUCACAAAGCAGUCGACCAGAUAGUGGAGGUUGGGCACAAACUGUCUCUGAUCCACUCAGAAAGUCCCCUUUACCCCAAGGUGUGAUACGGAGCAACAACUCUGCGUUUGAGACAUAUGAGAAACCACGCAUCAGUCCUAAUCUCCCAGGCGCAAAUAGGAGCCUGCUAAAUCGCCAGCAGAGAGGGGGUAGCACGUCAAGUGGUGGCUCAAGUGGAUCUACCAAGAAGGGUUUUAGGUCCCUGUCUGACCGUGACUCUGACCGGUCAUCUCCAGCCUCCUCCAUCAUUUCCACCAUCAGUAACGAGCUGACUGACAUGGCACAAUCAGCCACAAACACCAUGUCAGAGCUGUUUGGAAGCAAUAAGGCUGCCACACCAUCUCCACCACCUCAGCCCAGCAUAAACAAGCCAGCUGCCAAACCAUACACACCUCUUGGUACACGGAAAGCUCUUGUUGAGAAGUCUGGAUUGGUCAAACAUGCUACCAGUCAGAAGAAAAAAGAAACUGUGAAACCAGUAGCACAGGAAUCUCGGGGUUCUUCAAACAGUGAGAAUCAGCAGUUCUUAAAGGAGGUGGUCAAUUUUAUCCUGGAUGGGCAGGGAAUGGGAUGGCUCAAACUCAACCGUGUGAAGAAGCUGAUGGAAGAUGAGAACUACAGGAACUUUGUCAUCAGUCGACUCAACCGUAACCUGGACAAAAAGAUUACUGAUGAUGCAAAUCACCUUGAGGAUGUGUGUAUUACAAAGAAUGUGUUCAAAGGCAUGCUGGCAAUGACGAAGGCAAUUGUCCAUGGUCUGGAGCACACAUUUCAGAACCAUGGCCUUGGUGGAAUGGCAAGUGCUUUCAUGGUGAUGGAGAUCCUACACACGCACUACUGGGCCCGAGAGGUCACCAGCAGUAAUCGCAGUGACACCAGCCUCACACCAGAUGUGUCAUCCCUGCAUGGAAGUCAUGAGAGUCUUUCAUCCAAGGGAGAUGAUGCCCAGAGGACAGACAACCAAAGUCUCACAGAUACAGACCAUAUGCCUGCUACCACCAGCCUGAACCCGUCCCCUCGCCAACCCCCACUGUCCCCCAACCGACAGGACAGCACAGGCUGGUGGGCAGAGCGAGAGCGAGACCAGUCACAGCCAAUCAGUGCCGCCUGCAUUUCUGACCAGUCGUCCUCUAGUACCAGCACCAGCACUGAGUCAGGUUCUCCCGUGAUUGUAAAUGGCGAUGAGUUUGAGAACAUAGAGAUCCCUGUGAUGUCAGACAGCAGUGGCCACUCGGAAAACUCUGGAGUUGGAGGAAGUAAUGGAGGGAUUGCCAGACAAACAGGCCUCAGCCCACAGAUGACAGACAUGAACAGGAAUAUUGGCAAACCACAGGCCCAAACGUGUGAUAUCAUUGUGACAGACACAAGCUCUUCCAGAGAAGGGGAGGACAUGAUGCACGAACUUGUCAAGAACAAAGAGUUGAUUAAGACCAGCAGACUAGAUAAGUUUAACAGCAUGGACUCCGAAAUAUCAGAGGCUAGCACUCUGGUCAGCACCAGCUCAGACAACAAUGAUGAGAACCGAAAAAGGAGUCGAAUCAAUCAUCACUCUAUCAGGGGAACCUUGUCUGACAGUGAGAUGGAGGGCUCAACUGGGCAGUCUGCACGUCACAGCAAGAGGAACCGUUCUCCAAGUGUUUGGAGCUCCAAGAGCAAUCUCAGUACAGGAUUUCGCUACAGUGAAGGCAAGAUGAUCAACACAAGCUGUCCACAGAACCCGGAAUUCUACAAAACAUACCUGUUUGAAGGCUUGCUAGGCAAAAGUAGAAGUCGAUUGUUUGACCAGAUGCAGUUUUGGGAGGACUUGUUUCUAGAUGCUGUGGCACAGGAGAGAGACAUCAUUGGCAUGGACCAACGUCCCUCAGAGAUGAUAGAGCGGUAUCGGUCUCUUGGUGACAUGGAGCGGAAACGUCUGGAACAUGAUGAGGACCGUCUGUUGGCCCAUAUGUUGUACAACUUGGUGGGCUUCAUGGUGAUGAUGAAUGUUCACAAGACUGAGGUGAAGAAGAAGGUACGGCGUCUGCUGGGCAAGUCUCACAUUGGACUCAUGUACAGUCAGGAUGUCAACAACCUCCUGGAUCAGAUCAACAAUCUGCAUGGUAAUGAUAUUGACCUGCGUCCUCUUGGCAGUCGGCAGAUGCAGAAACAGUCUUUCACUGUUCACUGGGGUACUGACAACAGUGGUGACAUGCUAUUCAUGGAGGUAUGUGAUGACUGCCUGCUGUUGCGCAGUGUGACAGGCACAAUACAUGACAGAUGGUGGUUUGAGAAGCUUGUCAACAUGACGUACUGCCCCAAGACAAAGGUUCUCUGUCUGUGGCGCAAACAAGCAGACAAAGUACAGCUCAACCAAUUCUAUACCAAAAAGUGCCGAGAGCUGUACUUCUGCGUGAAGGAAUCGAUGGAGAAGGCUGCAACCCGCAACACUGGGAAGCUGCCAGGUCCUGAGCUAGGUGGGGAAUUUCCAGUGCAGGAUCUCCGGUCAGGUCAGGGAGGCCUCCUGCAAGUCUGCAUGGAGGGAAUAGGCCUGCUUCUUGCCAACAGCAAAAUCCCAAAACUAAACAAGUAAUCCAGCACAAAUUCAAAUCCAGCAUGGCCAACGAGGCUGCACUCAUGAUGCAUAGGAUAUUUUCUGUGCAAUACGCCAAGUUACGAGCCAAGGCCUUACUUUUACCUGAUGAAAAUGGAAACAGCUGACCAAAUGUGCUAUGCAGUCCUCUGUCUGUUUUC
rnacentral:misc_RNA from 1 species